rnacentral:rRNA from 1 species
CCUACGGGAGGCUGCAGUGGGGAAUCUUGUACAAUGGAGGGAACUCUGAUGCAGCGACGCCGCGUGAGUGAAGAAGUAUUUCGGUACGUAAAGCUCUAUCAGCAGGAAAGAACAUGACGGUACCUGACUAAGAAGCCCCGGCGAACUACGUGCCAGCAGCCGCGGUAAUACGUAGGGGGCAAGCGUUAUCCGGAGUUACUGGGUGUAAAGGGAGCGUAGACGGCAGGGCAAGUAUGGAGUGAAAUGCCGGGGCCCAACCCCGGAACUGCUCUGGAAACUGUGAAGCUGGAGUGCAGGAGAGGUAAGCGGAAGUCCUGGUGUAGCGGUGAAAUGCGUAGAUAUCAGGAGGAACACCGGCGGCGAAGGCGGCUGACUGGACUGUAACUGACGUUGAGGCUCGAAGGCGUGGGGAGCGAACAGGAUUAGAUACCCCAGUAGUC